rnacentral:rRNA from 1 species
UGAUCAUGGCUCAGGACGAACGCUGGCGGCGCGCCUAACACAUGCAAGUCGAACGAGCGAGAGAGAGCUUGCUUUCUCGAGCGAGUGGCGAACGGGUGAGUAACGCGUGAGGAACCUGCCUCAAAGAGGGGGACAACAGUUGGAAACGACUGCUAAUACCGCAUAAGCCCACGGCUCGGCAUCGAGCAGAGGGAAAAGGAGUAAUCCGCUUUGAGAUGGCCUCGCGUCCGAUUAGCUAGUUGGUGAGGUAACGGCCCACCAAGGCGACGAUCGGUAGCCGGACUGAGAGGUUGAACGGCCACAUUGGGACUGAGACACGGCCCAGACUCCUACGGGAGGCAGCAGUGGGGAAUAUUGCACAAUGGGGGAAACCCUGAUGCAGCGACGCCGCGUGGAGGAAGAAGGUCUUCGGAUUGUAAACUCCUGUUGUUGGGGAAGAUAAUGACGGUACCCAACAAGGAAGUGACGGCUAACUACGUGCCAGCAGCCGCGGUAAAACGUAGGUCACAAGCGUUGUCCGGAAUUACUGGGUGUAAAGGGAGCGCAGGCGGGAAGACAAGUUGGAAGUGAAAUCUAUGGGCUCAACCCAUAAACUGCUUUCAAAACUGUUUUUCUUGAGUAGUGCAGAGGUAGGCGGAAUUCCCGGUGUAGCGGUGGAAUGCGUAGAUAUCGGGAGGAACACCAGUGGCGAAGGCGGCCUACUGGGCACCAACUGACGCUGAGGCUCGAAAGUGUGGGUAGCAAACAGGAUUAGAUACCCUGGUAGUCCACACCGUAAACGAUGAUUACUAGGUGUUGGAGGAUUGACCCCUUCAGUGCCGCAGUUAACACAAUAAGUAAUCCACCUGGGGAGUACGACCGCAAGGUUGAAACUCAAAGGAAUUGACGGGGGCCCGCACAAGCAGUGGAGUAUGUGGUUUAAUUCGACGCAACGCGAAGAACCUUACCAAGUCUUGACAUCCCUUGACGAUGCUGGAAACAGUAUUUCUCUUCGGAGCAAGGAGACAGGUGGUGCAUGGUUGUCGUCAGCUCGUGUCGUGAGAUGUUGGGUUAAGUCCCGCAACGAGCGCAACCCUUAUGGUCAGUUACUACGCAAGAGGACUCUGGCCAGACUGCCGUUGACAAAACGGAGGAAGGUGGGGAUGACGUCAAAUCAUCAUGCCCUUUAUGACUUGGGCUACACACGUACUACAAUGGCGUUAAACAAAGAGAAGCAAGACCGCGAGGUGGAGCAAAACUCAGAAACAACGUCCCAGUUCGGACUGCAGGCUGCAACUCGCCUGCACGAAGUCGGAAUUGCUAGUAAUCGUGGAUCAGCAUGCCACGGUGAAUACGUUCCCGGGCCUUGUACACACCGCCCGUCACACCAUGAGAGCCGGGGGGACCCGAAGUCGGUAGUCUAACCG